UGUUCUUUUAAGCAAAUGUGCCUGCUCAAAAAUGCAAAAUCUUGCAAUCUGUGGACACAAUACUGAAGUGAAGAACGUCAGUAGAUUUACAUGUAGGAAUUUUUUUUGAGCGCUAACUUUUGCACGAUAUUUUUUUUCUCGAUUGUAUGCUGCAUGGGUUUUUUUUUCUUUCUCCUUGGAUUGCAGGAAAUUUUUUUUCGAAAUCUUCCAACCCCCCUCAAAAAUCAAAUGGUCCGCCCCUUAUAAUCAAUCCCUUGAGAGUUG